rnacentral:ribozyme from 1 species
UUUUUUUUUUUUUUUUUUUUUUUUUUUUUUUUUUUUUUUUUUUUUAGACGGGCACUGUUGAAA